AGCCGAUGAAGGACGUUACUAACGACGAUAUGCUUUGGGGAGCUGUAAGUAAGCUUUGAUCCAGAGAUUUCCGAAUGGGGAAACCCAGCAUGAGUUAUGUCAUGUUAUCGAUAUGUGAAUACAUAGCAUAUCAGAAGGCACACCCGGAGAACUGAAACAUCUUAGUACCCGGAGGAAGAGAAAGAAAAUUCGAUUCCCUUAGUAGCGGCGAGCGAAACGGGAAGAGCCCAAACCAACAAGCUUGCUUGUUGGGGUUGUAGGACACUCUAUACGGAGUUACAAAGGACGACA
rnacentral:rRNA from 1 species